AGAGUUUGAUUAUGGCUCAGAACGUACGCUGGCGGCACGCCUAAUACAUGCAAGUCGAACGAAGUAGCAAUACUUAGUGGCGAACGGGUGAGUAUAAUGUGGGUAUCUGCCUUUUGGUGAGGAAUAACACGGGGAAACUUGUGCUAAUACUUCAUAAGCCUUUACAGGGAAAGCUUUAGCGCCAAAAGAUGAGCCCGCACUUGAUUAGCUAGUUGGUAAGGUAAUGGCUUACCAAGGCUACGAUCAAUAGCUGAUCUGAGAGGAUGAUCAGCCACAUUGGGACUGAGACACGGCCCAGACUCCUACGGGAGGCAGCAGUAGGGAAUCUUGCACAAUGGGGGAAACCCUGAUGCAGCGAUGCCGCGUGAGUGAAGAAGGCCUUUGGGUUGUAAAGCUCUUUCGUCGGGGAAGAAAAUGACUGUACCCGAAUAAGAAGGUCCGGCUAACUUCGUGCCAGCAGCCGCGGUAAUAC
rnacentral:rRNA from 1 species